GACGAACGCUGGCGGCGUGCUUAACACAUGCAAGUCGAACGGAGAUCAAGGUAACAGUUUACUGAGACUUUGAUUUUAGUGGCGGACGGGUGAGUAACGCGUGGGUAACCUGCCCCAAAGGCCGGGACAACAGUUGGAAACGGCUGCUAAUACCGGAUAAUCUCAAGAGAAGGCAUCUUCUAUUGAGGAAAGGUGGCCUCUGAACAUGCUACCAUUUUGGGAUGGGACCCGCGUCUGAUUAGCUAGUUGGUAGGGUAGUGGCCUACCAAGGCGACGAUCAGUAGCCGGCCUGAGAGGGUGACCGGCCACACUGGGACUGAGACACGGCCCAGACUCCUACGGGAGGCUG
rnacentral:rRNA from 1 species